rnacentral:rRNA from 1 species
GGGGGAAAAUUAAUUAUCAGAGAUAGAUAAUAAAAGAAAUUUUUAUUUUUAUAUAUUUUAAUGGGGGUUAAAGUAUAUAUAUAAGAAAAAAUUUGAAAAUUUAUAGGGGAAUAGUAUUGUAAAAGAAUUUUGAAAUAUAAUGAAAAUUAAUUAGUUAAUAAGUAAAUUUAAUUUAUUGUAUCUUGUGUAUCAGAGUUUAUUAAAAAUAAUUUUUAUUUAAAAAUAUUUCGAAUUUAAAAGAGAUAAUUAAUUAAAAAAAUUUAUUGUUUCAUAAAUAUUUUAAAUAAUUAAUUAGAAAUGAAAUGUUAAUCGUUUUUAAAUAUAUCUAGUUUUUUUAGAAAUAAAUUUAAUUUAUAGUUUAUUUUUGUAAAAAGAAAUUAAUUUCUUUUUACAAAAAUAAACUAAAUAUUUUAAGGGAUAAUCUUUAAAUUAAAUUUUUAUAAUAUAUUAUUAUAAUUUUUUAAAAUUUUUAAAAUUUAUAUUGUUUAAAAAUUAUAUUUUUUUAUAAAAAAUUUUAAUAUGUGUAUAAAAUUUUUAAUUAAAAUUUAAUUUUUUAUAAAAAAAUAAUUUAUAAUUUUUUUAAAAUUAGAUAUAAUGAUAAAAUUAGUAUAAAUUGAUUGUAAUUAUUUAAUUAAUAAUAGUUAAAUAAAUAAAUAAAAGGAAUUCGGCAAAAAUUUAUAUUCACCUGUUUAUCAAAAACAUGUCUUUUUGAGAAUAAUUUAAAGUCAAAUCUGCCCACUGAUUUAUUAAAGGGCUGCAGUAAAUUGACUGUACAAAGGUAGCAUAAUAAUUAGUCUUUUAAUUGAAGACUUGUAUGAAAGAUUUAAUGAAAUAUAGACUGUCUCUUUUUUAUAAUUUGAAUUUAAUUUUUUAGUAAAAAAGCUAAAAUUUUUUUAAAAGACGAGAAGACCCUAUAGAGUUUUAUAUUUAAUUUAAAUUUUAAUUUUUUAUUAAUUUUAAAUAAAAAUUAAAUUAAUUAUUUUAUUGGGGUGAUAAAAAAAUAAAAAUAACUUUUUUUAUAGGAGUAUUAGUAAUAUACAUAUAUAAUUAACAUUGAUUAAUGAGAAAAUGAUCCAUAAUUUAUGAUUAUAAGAAAAAAUUACCUUAGGGAUAACAGCGUAAUUUUUUUUUUUAGUUCAAAUAAAAAAAAAAGUUUGCGACCUCGAUGUUGGAUUAAGAUAAAAUUUAAAUGCAGAAGUUUAAAUUUUUUGAUCUGUUCGAUCAUUAAAAUCUUACAUGAUCUGAGUUCAAACCGGUGUGAGCCAGGUUGGUUUCUAUCUUUAAAAAAUUAAAAUAUUUUAGUACGAAAGGAUUAAAUAUUUAGAAUAAUUUUAAUUAAAAGAAUUUCAAUAAUAUUAUAUAGUGGGUAAUUUAUUUACUUAACAUGUGUUUGUGUAAAUAUAUACCUAUAUAUAUAUACAUUCCUGUAUUUAUGGCUAAUAGUAGUUA